CGUCAAAGUCUUUAGCAAAAAGGCUAUUGGAACAACGAAUUGCGUUGAUUAAGAUUUUCUAAGUUAUUUUUCUGCCUUGAAGAAAUUGGUAAAACAUAAGGAAGGUGUGAUGCAUGCAAUGGAGAAGUCAUGCUGGUACUAAUGGUAUAACACACUUCAAUACACCGAAAGUUUUCCCGCAGGAUACAAUGUGUUUCUGUAGCCGCGAGUGCAAAGCUUAUCCUGUCACUCAUCACUGCAACAGUCAUGGUUCUUGCGGUAGACGUUAUGUCUUAUUCCAAAGGAUUUUCCCAUUAAGAUCAGACAAAUAAAUGGAACAAGAGUUUAAAUGUACUUAGUACUGAUUGACAUCUUUACAUUAACAAAAUAGGUUCAUAGUCACUACUUUAUAACUUUUGUAUGACAAGCUAGUGACGGUAAUUCAGAAGAAAAAAAGAUAUUUUGCCUGACGACGAGUCACAAGAACUUUCAGGUUUUUAUGUGCGCUAUGAACUAUAGUUAUACACUUGUCUGAUCGAAACAUAAAAAAGACCAUAAUGGAA